GGGGAAUAUUGCGCAAUGGGGGAAACCCUGACGCAGCAAUACCGCGUGAGUGAAGAAGGUUUUCGGAUCGUAAAGCUCUGUUAUUGGGGAAGAAAAAAAGACGGUACCCAAGAAGAAAGUCCCGGCUAACUACGUGCCAGCAGCCGCGGUAAUACGUAGGGGACAAGCGUUAAUCGGAAUUACUGGGCGUAAAGCGCACGUAGGCUGCUUUGUAAGUCAGGGGUGAAAUCCCACGGCUCAACCGUGGAACUGCCUUUGAUACUGCUUAGCUUGAAUCCGGGGGAGGGUGGCGGAAUUCCAGGUGUAGGAGUGAAAUCCGUAGAUAUCUGGAGGAACAUCAGUGGCGAAGGCGGCCACCUGGACCGGUAUUGACGCUGAGGUGCGAAAGCGUGGGGAGCAAACA
rnacentral:rRNA from 1 species